rnacentral:rRNA from 1 species
CCUCAGUUGCCAGCAUUUCGGGUGGGAACUCUGGGGAGACUGCCGGUGAUAAACCGGAGGAAGGUGGGGACGACGUCAAGUCAUCAUGGCCCUUACGGCCAGGGCUACACACGUGCUACAAUGGUGCAUACAAACGGAAGCGAAGUCGCGAGGCGAAGCCAAUCUGAUAAAAUGCAUCGUAGUCCGGAUUGGAGUCUGCAACUCGACUCCAUGAAGUCGGAAUCGCUAGUAAUCGUGAAUCAGAAUGUCACGGUGAAUACGUUCCCGGGCCUU